rnacentral:rRNA from 1 species
UACGUAGGGUGCGAGCGUUAAUCGGAAUUACUGGGCGUAAAGCGUGCGCAGGUGGUGAUGUAAGACAGAUGUGAAAUCCCCGGGCUCAACCUGGGAACUGCAUUUGUGACUGCAUCGCUGGAGUGCGGCAGAGGGGGAUGGAAUUCCGCGUGUAGCAGUGAAAUGCGUAGAUAUGCGGAGGAACACCGAUGGCGAAGGCAAUCCCCUGGGCCUGCACUGACGCUCAUGCACGAAAGCGUGGGGAGCAAACAGG